GGGGAGAUGGCUCAGUGGUUAAGAGCACUGACUGUUCUUCCAGAGGUCCUGAGUUCAAUUCUCAGCAACCACA
rfam:Mus musculus chromosome 1, GRC primary reference assembly.